ensembl:lncRNA
UGAGAGUAACCCGACAGGUCCUGGGGGUUGUCCCCUCAAAGAGGAAGGGAGGUCACCAGGGCUCUGUGUGACUUGGCGGAGCCUGGAGGCCCUGCCUGUGGAGUGGGGGAGGAGAUGGACCUGCUGCCUGCCUGCCUGCUGGAUCCUCGGCUGUGUCCUCCCAUAGGUCACUACUGAGGCAGGGGCCAGGGCAAGGUGCGUGGUCUGGUGACUUCCCCUCUGCUGUCCUUGCUUGGCCUGCAGCCUGCUGUCCUUAGAUGCUGGGACCUCUGGGCCUCCCCAACACCCCUCGCUUCCCUUGGGUAGCCGCAGUCCAGCGGCUCCUUCCUGCCACCGUUACAUGAAAUUAGUCUUGGGCCACAUUUCUGGGGGAGGGUGGAUGCUUUUUCUAAAGCUUCCUUAUACUGAACUACAGCCCUGGCUCUCUUUAUUCAGGAGUCACCGAGUUCCCCAGGCUGGGCUUGAAUGUGUGAGCCUCUGCCUCUGUCUCCCAGAGUGCUGGGUUAUAGGAGGAUGCUGUUUCAAAGGGAUGCCUUGUGAAAGGUACUCAGAGCGGCCCGGGAACUGAGCAUCGAGCGUGUGGGGGUCUGCUGUCCGGGCAGGGCUUCACUUGUCAGAUCCAGAGACCCCAAUUGCAGGCGGUCCUCUCUUCCCCGAGCCAGCCUGAGCUCUGCCUGGGCACCUCUCCUCUGCCCAGCCAGGCUGUGCCUUUUCUCAGUGGUGUUUUCUGUCUGGCCAGCUUUGGAGUACCGAGGCAGUGAAACCUGGGUGCUGUCACAGCACCUUCCCACCUUCGAGAAAACCUGGGGCUUAUGACCAUGAGUACAUGUUUACUCGGCAACAGCAAGAGGAUCUGGGCUCCAGGGCAAAGUGCUCAGCUUUGUUGCAGCUAUCAGACGGGCUGAGACGCAGUGGGGAAACUGAGGCUCAGGAAGGCCUUGACCUACAUGAGGUUGGGAGCACUUGCCUGGGUUGGAGAAAGCCUCUGCCUGUUCUCUGCUGCUUGAAUCUGCCUUGAUGGCAGGGAGGGCCUCCCGUUCCACAGAUAGAACUUGACGAGUUGGGACGAAGGAAAUGCUGAGCCUCACUGGUCUCUUGCUGGCUCCACGCCCCAGCUCCCCUGGCCUCUGCACCCGGCUUGAGUGACAGAUGCUCCAGGAGGGGCAGGUCCUUCUGGAGCCAGCCUGGCUCCCUGAGCCCGGGACUCUUCAGACCCCUCCGUGUAGAUCUCCAUGCAAAGCAGCUGGCUCCUCGCCUGUGCAGAGUCACCAGCUGCCUAGGUCCAAGUGGAUCCAGGAACCGGGCCUGGGAGCAACCUGCAGCACGGAAGUGGCUCUGUCAGCUCCAGGCUUCCUGGGGGCAUGUUCGGGGACUCAGGCAGCCAGGAGCAGGGCCACAGCUCCCUGGGUUGCACAUCACUCUUUGGAAAGCCCAUGUCCUUUGUGCACUGGGAGCUGAGCGCCGGUGGGAAAGACUUAGGCAGAGAGGAGCAUGCGGGUGUGCGCGAGCCAGGGCCCAGCUUCGGAGGAACACUGGUGGGCUCCUGACUUCAGCUGGCACGUAACUGUUGGCUCCUGAGGAGGAGGAGCCCGGGGCUGGCUGGGUUCCUCCCCUCGAAAGUCACUGGCCAGGUGCUCUGGGCAGACACAGCCGCAGCUUGCUGCCCUCCAGAUGCAGACCUGGAAGGGACUCUGGUCACC